GUGGGGAAUAUUGGGCAAUGGGCGCAAGCCUGAUCCAGCAAUGCCGCGUGCAGGAAGAAGGCCUUCGGGUUGUAAACUGCUUUUGUACGGAACGAAAAGGCUCUGGUUAAUACCUGGGGCUCAUGACGGUACCGUAAGAAUAAGCACCGGCUAACUACGUGCCAGCAGCCGCGGUAAUACGUAGGGUGCAAGCGUUAAUCGGAAUUACUGGGCGUAAAGCGUGCGCAGGCGGUUUUGUAAGACAGACGUGAAAUCCCCGGGCUCAACCAGGGAAUGGCGUUUGUGACUGCAAAGCUGGAGUGCGGCAGAGGGGGAUGGAAUUCCGCGUGUAGCAGUGAAAUGCGUAGAUAUGCGGAGGAACACCGAUGGCGAAGGCAAUCCCCUGGGCCUGCACUGACGCUCGUGCACGAAAGCGUGGGGAGCAAACAGGAUUAGAUACCCUAGUAGUCC
rnacentral:rRNA from 1 species